GCCCAGACCGACCUCAACAACAGAUGGCUGUAACAAGAACAGACUCUGUUGCUAAUGAGGAAUGACGGCAACAAGGGGGUCCUCUUGUCACCUAUUCAAAUGAUUUUACCACUUAUGUUUGUUCCUUCACAGACCGCCAGGUUUGCCUAACAUUGGGAGGAACCGCCUAUUCUUGUCUUUUGGAUUCAGGGGCUGCACUUUCUACUGUUACUGCAAAGCCGGAGAGAGGAAGCCUUACAGAUAAGAGCAUUCCAUAUUCCUUUAGAUAAGGACAGCUGGGGCCACGCUUACCAAUUCAAUGUCAGUCCCUACCCGCUGAUAUUCCUGCCCACCGGAUCGCUCCAGGAGACUGGGUCUAUGUGAAAGAGUGGAAACACGAGCCUCUCCAACCCUGGCGGGCGGGCCCUUUCCAAGUCCUUCUUACCUCUCACACUGCUAUUCGAGUGAAAGAGCGAGACACUUGGAUACACCACACCCGAGUCAAGCUAGCCCCUAGGACGGGGCCAGAAGCAGAUGACUUCGGACCUCGAGGGAGCACCGCCAGCUCUUCCCACCAUGACCCGGAAGAGCCAGAAGCAGACGAUACCUGGAAAGCUGAACCUCUUGAGGGACUAAAACUUCUGUUCCGGUGAACAAAAUCCUAAGACUUUAUAACUAUAGGUUCUCAGACGGUGCUGCAGUGGCUAUUGCUUUUGGGUCUGCCCCUUGUACAAGCUAACCCACACCCAGCCACUAAACCUCUUCAGUGAAUAGCCACGUUGGGACACUUAUCUGAUUGUUGGCUGUGUCACAAAACCCGCUCUGA